rnacentral:misc_RNA from 1 species
UCUCCGUAGGUGAACCUGCGGAGGGAUCAUUACAGAGUUCAUGCCCUACCGGGUAGAUCUCCCACCCUAUGUUAUUAUUACUUUGUUGCUUUGGCGGGCCGUUAGGCUCCGGCCCGACUACCGGCCCCGGCUGGUAAGCGCCCGCCAGAGGACCCAAAACCCUGAGUAUUAGUGUCGUCUGAGUACUAUAUAAGAGUUAAAACUUUCAACAACGGAUCUCUUGGUUCUG